rnacentral:rRNA from 1 species
UACAGAGGGGGCAAGCGUUAUUCGGAAUUAUUGGGCGUAAAGGGCGCGUAGGCGGGAUGGCAAGUCGGUCGUGAAAUCCUUCGGCUCAACCGAAGAACGUCGGCCGAUACUGCCGUUCUUGAGGGAUGCAGAGGAGAUUGGAAUUCCCGGUGUAGCGGUGAAAUGUGUAGAGAUCGGGAGGAACACCGGUGGCGAAGGCGGGUCUCUGGGCAUCUCCUGACGCUGAGGCGCGAAAGCGUGGGGAGCAAACGGG